AUAAUUUUUAAAUAAACAAUUAAUUAUUCGAUAAAAUUACAAUCCAACCCGUCUCAAAAUUAAUAUACAUAACAAAGUCAAUUACAAUUAAUUGAUAAUAUAUCCCACUGACUCAUGCCACCAUAAUAGCCAAUAAAUAUUUCAGCUUUCUAAUUUCUCAUUGAUGAUCACAUUAUAAUACCAAUAGUCUUAAUUUGAUUACCCUUCUUCCUCAAUCGCUACUAUGGUUGCCAAGUGCAGGGAAGUCCUUUUUCAUUUUUGGCCACAAUUUGAUGCUAAAAAGUAGCAAUUUCAUUUCCUUCCAAUUAAGCACUGUACAACCGAUUUCAUUUUCCUUUCAUUGGAUCCCUGUUCAACUAAUUCCAUUUCCAUUAGCAUUUCUACUAAUCAAAAUAUGAUUACACAUAUAUUUAUCCACUCAAUUCGAUUUAUGUACCUGCCCUUUUCUAUUCCUUCAGUCUCCCAGCUCUUCUCUCUACAUUCCUCCAAAGUGAGAAAUGGAUAGAUAUGUAUAAUGUUUAUGCUUAUCAAUUACCAUCAUUUCCACUAAUCAUACCUAUUCAAGAACUCAAUUAAAAACUCUAGGAUUUACCAAAAUUAGUAUUUCUUACCUUGAUACAAAGAUCUUUCACAAAUCUGCUUGAAAUCAUACUGUUUCCAUCAAUCCGAAAAUGGAACUAUCAAAUUUGCCCAACUACUUAGAAGCCUAGAAAAUUUUAUAUGAAUUAUACCACAAAAUAUUUACCUCUUUCCUCUCUAAAAAUUGAAGAAAUUGAAUAAUGGAACUCAAGAUUUUCUUCACCCUUUUUUCUUUAUCUUCUCUUUUCUCUUUUCUCUUUUCUUUCUCCUUUUUUCUCUCUCUCGGUCUCUCUCAAUUUUUCCGGUUUCUUCUCUCCCAGCCAUUUCUUCUUGUGUGUGUAUGUAAAGAAUUGGAAGAAAUGGUUUAUAACAUGACACUUGUAUUCCACUAACCCCAAAUUUUGCCAUUCAAGUCCUUCAACAUUAAUAUAUCUUAACAUUAAAUCUUUUACUUCCAAAAAUAGAAAAAUAAAUCCC
rnacentral:lncRNA from 1 species